CUAUGUACGGAAUGGAUAAGCGCUGAAAGCAUCUAAGCGCGAAGCCAACUUCAAGAUAAGAUUUCCCACCGCAAGGGUAAGACCCCAGAAAGACUAUCUGGUUGAUAGGUCGAAGGUGUAAGUGCAGCAAUGUAUUUAGCUUAUCGAUACUAAUAGGUCGAGGACUUGACCAAUAUUUAUU
rnacentral:rRNA from 2 species